UACAUAGGAUGCAAGCGUUAUCCGGAUUUACUGGGCGUAAAACGAGCGCAGGCGGGUUAACAAGUUUGGUAUGAAAGGCUUUUGCUUAACGAAAGUUUGUAUCAAAAACUGUUAAUCUAGAGUGUAGUAGAGAGUUCUGGAAUUCCAUGUGGAGCGGUGGAAUGCGUAGAUAUAUGGAAGAACACCAGUGGCGAAGGCAGCAUACCGGUGCACAACUGACGCUCAGGCACGAAAGCGUGGGUAUCGAACAGG
rnacentral:rRNA from 1 species